rnacentral:rRNA from 1 species
UACGUAGGGUGCAAGCGUUGUCCGGAAUUAUUGGGCGUAAAGGGCUCGUAGGCGGCCAUGUAAGUCGGGUGUGAAAGCCCUCGGCUCAACCGAGGAACUGCGCCCGGUACUGCAUGGCUUGAGGUCCGGAGGGGAGAGUGGAAUUCCCGGUGGAGCGGUGAAAUGCGUAGAGAUCGGGAAGAACGCCGGCGGCGAAAGCGACUCUCUGGUCGGAAUCUGACGCUGAGGUGCGAAAGCUAGGGGAGCAAACGGGG